rnacentral:rRNA from 1 species
UACGAAGGGGGCUAGCGUUGCUCGGAAUCACUGGGCGUAAAGGGUGCGUAGGCGGGGCUUUAAGUCAGGGGUGAAAUCCUGGAGCUCAACUCCAGAACUGCCUUUGAUACUGAAGAUCUUGAGUUCGGGAGAGGUGAGUGGAACUGCGAGUGUAGAGGUGAAAUUCGUAGAUAUUCGCAAGAACACCAGUGGCGAGGGCGGCUCACUGGCCCGAUACUGACGCUGAGGCACGAAAGCGUGGGGAGCAAACAGG